GGUUAAGCGACUAAGCGUACACGGUGGAUGCCCUGGCAGUCAGAGGCGAUGAAGGACGUGCUAAUCUGCGAAAAGCGUCGGUAAGGUGAUAUGAACCGUUAUAACCGGCGAUGUCCGAAUGGGGAAACCCAGUGCAAUUCGUUGCACUAUCGUUAACUGAAUACAUAGGUUAACGAGGCGAACCGGGGGAACUGAAACAUCUAAGUACCCCGAGGAAAAGAAAUCAACCGAGAUUCCCCCAGUAGCGGCGAGCGAACGGGGAGCAGCCCAGAGUCUGAAUCAGCUUGUGUGUUAGUGGAACGGUCUGGAAAGUCCGACGGUACAGGGUGAUAGUCCCGUACACCAAAAUGCACAGGUUGUGAACUCGAAGAGUAGGGCGGGACACGUGGUAUCCUGUCUGAAUAUGGGGGGACCAUCCUCCAAGGCUAAAUACUCCUGACUGACCGAUAGUGAACCAGUACCGUGAGGGAAAGGCGAAAAGAACCCCGGCGAGGGGAGUGAAAAAGAACCUGAAACCGUGUACGUACAAGCAGUGGGAGCACCUUCGGGUGUGACUGCGUACCUUUUGUAUAAUGGGUCAGCGACUUAUAUUCUGUAGCAAGGUUAACCGUAUAGGGGAGCCGCAGGGAAACCGAGUCUUAACUGGGCGUUAAGUUGCAGGGUAUAGACCCGAAACCCGGUGAUCUAGCCAUGGGCAGGUUGAAGGUUGGGUAACACUAACUGGAGGACCGAACCGACUAAUGUUGAAAAAUUAGCGGAUGACUUGUGGCUGGGGGUGAAAGGCCAAUCAAACCGGGAGAUAGCUGGUUCUCCCCGAAAGCUAUUUAGGUAGCGCCUCGUGAAUUCAUCUUCGGGGGUAGAGCACUGUUUCGGCUAGGGGGUCAUCCCGACUUACCAACCCGAUGCAAACUACGAAUACCGAAGAAUGUUAUCACGGGAGACACACGGCGGGUGCUAACGUCCGUCGUGAAGAGGGAAACAACCCAGACCGCCAGCUAAGGUCCCAAAGUCAUGGUUAAGUGGGAAACGAUGUGGGAAGGCACAGACAGCCAGGAUGUUGGCUUAGAAGCAGCCAUCAUUUAAAGAAAGCGUAAUAGCUCACUGGUCGAGUCGGCCUGCGCGGAAGAUGUAACGGGGCUAAACCAUGCACCGAAGCUGCGGCAGCGACACUAUGUGUUGUUGGGUAGGGGAGCGUUCUGUAAGCCUGCGAAGGUGACCUGUGAGGGUUGCUGGAGGUAUCAGAAGUGCGAAUGCUGACAUAAGUAACGAUAAAGCGGGUGAAAAGCCCGCUCGCCGGAAGACCAAGGGUUCCUGUCCAACGUUAAUCGGGGCAGGGUGAGUCGACCCCUAAGGCGAGGCCGAAAGGCGUAGUCGAUGGGAAACAGGUUAAUAUUCCUGUACUUGGUGUUACUGCGAAGGGGGGACGGAGAAGGCUAUGUUAGCCGGGCGACGGUUGUCCCGGUUUAAGCAUGUAGGCUGAUUAUCCAGGCAAAUCCGGAUAAUCAAGGCUGAGGUGUGAUGACGAGGCACUACGGUGCUGAAGUAACAAAUGCCCUGCUUCCAGGAAAAGCCUCUAAGCAUCAGGUAACAUCAAAUCGUACCCCAAACCGACACAGGUGGUCAGGUAGAGAAUACCAAGGCGCUUGAGAGAACUCGGGUGAAGGAACUAGGCAAAAUGGUGCCGUAACUUCGGGAGAAGGCACGCUGGUGUGUAGGUGAAGCCCCUGCGGGUGGAGCUGAGACCAGUCGAAGAUACCAGCUGGCUGCAACUGUUUAUUAAAAACACAGCACUGUGCAAACACGAAAGUGGACGUAUACGGUGUGACGCCUGCCCGGUGCCGGAAGGUUAAUUGAUGGGGUUAUCCGUAAGGAGAAGCUCUUGAUCGAAGCCCCGGUAAACGGCGGCCGUAACUAUAACGGUCCUAAGGUAGCGAAAUUCCUUGUCGGGUAAGUUCCGACCUGCACGAAUGGCGUAAUGAUGGCCAGGCUGUCUCCACCCGAGACUCAGUGAAAUUGAACUCGCUGUGAAGAUGCAGUGUACCCGCGGCAAGACGGAAAGACCCCGUGAACCUUUACUAUAGCUUGACACUGAACAUUGAGCCUUGAUGUGUAGGAUAGGUGGGAGGCUUUGAAGCGUGGACGCCAGUCUGCGUGGAGCCAACCUUGAAAUACCACCCUUUAAUGUUUGAUGUUCUAACGUUGGCCCCUGACCGGGGUUGCGGACAGUGUCUGGUGGGUAGUUUGACUGGGGCGGUCUCCUCCCAAAGCGUAACGGAGGAGCACGAAGGUUAGCUAAUCCUGGUCGGACAUCAGGAGGUUAGUGCAAUGGCAUAAGCUAGCUUGACUGCGAGCGUGACGGCGCGAGCAGGUGCGAAAGCAGGUCAUAGUGAUCCGGUGGUUCUGAAUGGAAGGGCCAUCGCUCAACGGAUAAAAGGUACUCCGGGGAUAACAGGCUGAUACCGCCCAAGAGUUCAUAUCGACGGCGGUGUUUGGCACCUCGAUGUCGGCUCAUCACAUCCUGGGGCUGAAGUAGGUCCCAAGGGUAUGGCUGUUCGCCAUUUAAAGUGGUACGCGAGCUGGGUUUAGAACGUCGUGAGACAGUUCGGUCCCUAUCUGCCGUGGGCGCUGGAGAAUUGAGGGGGGCUGCUCCUAGUACGAGAGGACCGGAGUGGACGCAUCACUGGUGUUCGGGUUGUCAUGCCAAUGGCACUGCCCGGUAGCUAAAUGCGGAAGAGAUAAGUGCUGAAAGCAUCUAAGCACGAAACUUGCCCCGAGAUGAGUUCUCCCUGAGACUUUAAGUCUCCUGAAGGAACGUUGAAGACGACGACGUUGAUAGGCCGGGUGUGUAAGCGCAGCGAUGCGUUGAGCUAACCGGUACUAAUGAACCGUGAGGCUUAACCUU
rnacentral:rRNA from 2 species